rnacentral:lncRNA from 1 species
UUAACCAACUACAGUCCCCAGAAUUCUCUGAGGGAUAAGAAUGCGCUUCAAAGGCACACAGUCUUUUGCCUCGGACCUUUUCGAAGAAUGCAUCUGCGUGGCUUCUUAUGUGCGCAGCCUGUAGCGUGGUCAAGACAGGAACCAUUAAUGGGCUUUAAAAUAGCGUAGACAACUGAAGAGCACCAGGCUCCACUCUUCACCACCCCAGCCACCAGCUCCUUGGCGCUGGACCUCCUUCUUUAAAUUGUGCUUGCUUGCUUGGGUUUAUAAAUAUAGAAACCUAAGCUAUACGAUGCCCCCCCUCCAAACUUGCCCCUCCCAUCUCAGCCUGGUGCAGUUCCUUCAGCUGCUCCUAUACUUGGUAUGACCUUUUCCCAUCUCUUCCCCACCCCCUUCCCGGCCCUCUCCCUUUCCUUGCUCUUUUCCUCCCCAGUGUUGUGAGCCUGGUGGCCAAUGAGCUUCUCCAGAAGAUCAAAUGUCCCUAUAACAGGAGGACUUAAUCGCCUGGUGGAGUUUGCAGACCCCGCAGCCUUUCUCCCAUUCGGCAGAAAGCUCCUUGCUUCUCACAGCAGCUCCCCCCUCUCAGAAACCUGCCAACAUGUCUGACAACGAAGAAGUGUAAGUAGAAGCGUAUCAAUAUUACCAUUGGUUUUAAAGGGCAUUUUUUUGGGGGGGGAGGGAGGUUUUCUGGUAGUAUGAAACAACUGGCCCUCACAGGUACGAAGUCAAUGACCUGUUCCGAAAUCAAUGAGGAGAAGCAACACCUAAUUUUACUGCAUUUAUUUAUUUAUUUAUUUAUUUAUUUAUUUAUGAAGUCAUAUGACCUAGGGCCAAAUCCACAACCUUAAAUAGCCGGUGCUUUUUGCUGCUUGCACAGAUCAUGGGCAGAAUGUACCGUAUUUUUCGCCCUAUAGGACGCACCGGCCCAUAGGACACACCUAGAUUUUGGGGGGUAAAAUAAAGGGGAAAAAAUUAUUUCCCCCCCCAGGCGCGGGGCUGGGGCGGGGGAAGCGCGGGCUUCCCCGACGCCAGCCCCCAGAACAGAACCCAGAGGAGCAGGACCUCUGGGAGCGUGUGGGAGCAGAACAGGACCUCUGGGAGCUUGUGGGGCUGGGGGCGGGGAAAGCAGAGCUUCCCUCUCCCCCAGCCC